CACAAUCUGACUUAAUUCUGGGGAUCCCAGGUUAAGGUUGCAGGAACCCUAAACCUUUGUGCUAAAUUGUUGAUUAAAUUUGUCAUAAGUAUGCUCUGUGGAUGCAGCUUAGUCUGAUCUUCCACAUCAGAAAUAUUGUGUAAACUGUAUGUUAAUUCUGAAGUAAAAUCAUACUUAAUGAAUUAUAUAAGUAUUCAUAUAAACCCAAUUAAUCAUAGUAUUUUAGUUCACAGUUAUAAUUUAUCUUUAAAUAUUUGUAUCUGUAU
rnacentral:lncRNA from 1 species